CACACUCUUCCCCCUCCACCGCCCCCGCCGGAACUUCCGUUCGAGUCCCGGGAACCCAGCCAUCGCGCUACCGGAAGUGGCCUGGCCAGCGAAUCCCUGCUGGAUCUCUCAUGGAAAAAUGAACCACUCCUUCUGCUCAUCACCUGACACUUUCAGCAAAGUCUUCAGAGGCUGCCUGUGGUUACUGCUUCAAUUAGUAGAAUUAAUGAAGGAAUUUUCUGCUCUGAUAUUUUUUAAUUUUUUAUUUAUUGACUUUUGAGAGAGGAACAGAAACAUCGAUUUGUUAUUCCACUUAUGUUUCCCCCACUCCAAAUCAAAAGGGAAUCCUUUUAUUCUUAUCUCAAAUAGACCCAAUAGAAAUAAAGAGGCCGAGAAGUAGGACCCUGAGUGCACUGAGAACUGCAUUUACAUUCUGGUUGGUUUCAGGCCUGAAUUUGAGAAAGGCUGAGGCUCCACAAAGCUUGGUGGCGGCAGGCUUUACCUAGGACAGGCUGGACAAAAGGGGGUGGAUCCUCCCAACAGUGUGGGCCAGACCCUGACGAGUUCUCUCAAGAGGAUCAGAUUCAAAACUAAUGCCUAUUACCAGCUACUAGUUUCUGCGAGGGAGAGAAUACCGACCAUUUGAAAUCCUCUUUGUGGAUAACUUAUAGUCUCUCCAAUUUUUGCCCUGACUCCAAAUUCAAGUCCAAAGUCUUGAGUCCACCCUCAGACUACAGGUGCUGCUCACUUACUCUCCUCACUCUCAUUUCUUCUGAUGAGAUCCCAAACCUGUUCCCCCUUACUUACAUUUACUGUCUACCUGGUCUAAAACAACAAAUUUCAAAGUUACAUACAGUUCCCAGUAAAGUAAAAGUCUCACCAGCACUAUCAAGAACUCGAAUACACAAAUAUUAAGUCUGGCAAGGAUUUAUUAGGAAGCGUAUUAAUCACAGUGAAUAAAAAGCCAUGGACAGAAGAACUGAGGUCUCCAGAUUCUGGCACUGGGCUUACAAAACUAGAAGCUAAUAAACACUGAGGAUCUUACCUUGACCAGAUACCCACAAACACAGAAAUGAGGUGGCCAUGUUCUCCCUGGGCUGCUUACCUAGGCAGUAGGAAAAAGACCUUCUCUUCAAGCUAUUAAUUAAGCAUCAUGAGUCCCACUCUUCCAGCUGUAACCAUGCGACACUAGCGCAUGACAGACAACUCCAAGCUGGGCACCCUGACAAGAGUGCUGAAUGAUGACAGGGAGAAGAACAAGCAGGGACAAGUAUUUCUAGUUGGAGACCCUCCUGGUGGUUAAUAUGAACAUAAUCUUGAGGCUUCACAAAGUUUGCUGCAGCCCAGGAAAGUUUCCAUU